rnacentral:rRNA from 1 species
GACCCGUCUUGAAACACGGACCAAGGAGUCUAACAUGUGCGCAAGUCAUUGGGUGGUAAACCCACAGGCGAAAUGAAAGUAAAAGUCCGCAUUGGUGGACUUAGGUGAGAUCCCGCAAGGGCGCAUCACCGCCUCGUCUUAUCUACUUUGUUAGAGGGGCGACGGAAGAGCGCACAUGUUGGGACCCGAAAGAUGGUGAACUAUGCCUGAGCAGGAUGAAGUCAGAGGAAACUCUGAUGGAGGUCCGUAGCGGUUCUGACGUGCAAAUCGAUCGUCAGACUUGGGUAUAGGGGCGAAAGACUAAUCGAACCAUCUAGUAGCUGGUUCCCUCCGAAGUUUCCCUCAGGAUAGCUGGCGCAUAGAGUGAAACAGUUUUAUCCGGUAAAGCGAAUGAUUAGAGGCCUUGGGGACGAAAUGAUCUCAACCUAUUCUCAAACUUUAAAUGGGUAAGAAGUCUCCCUUGCUUGAUUGAAGGAGAGACAUUGAAUGAAUGUGCCAAGUGGGCCAUUUUUGGUAAGCAGAACUGGCGCUGUGGGAUGAACCAAACGCUGGGUUAAAGUGCCAAAGCUAGACGCUCAUGAGACCCCAGGAAAGGUGUUGGUUGAUAUAGACAGCAGGACGGUGGCCAUGGAAGUCGGAAUCCGCUAAGGAGUGUGU